rnacentral:rRNA from 1 species
UACGGAGGGUGCAAGCGUUAUCCGGAAUUACUGGGUUUAAAGGGUGCGUAGGCGGUGAUAUAAGUCAGUGGUGAAAGGCCGUAGCUUAACUAUGGGAUUGCCAUUGAUACUGUAUGACUUGAAUCAGGUUGAGGUUGGCGGAAUGUGGCAUGUAGCGGUGAAAUGCUUAGAUAUGCCAUAGAACACCGAUUGCGAAGGCAGCUGACUGGACCUUUGAUUGACGCUGAGGCACGAAAGCGUGGGGAGCGAACAGG